rnacentral:rRNA from 1 species
UACGGAGGGUGCGAGCGUUGUCCGGAAUCACUGGGCGUAAAGGGCGCGUAGGCGGCCUGGUAAGUAGGGGGUGAAAUCCUGCGGCUUAACCGCAGGGCUGCCUUCUAAACUGUCAGGCUCGAGCACGGUAGAGGCAGAUGGAAUUCCCGGUGUAGCGGUGGAAUGCGUAGAGAUCAGGAGGAACACCGGUGGCGAAGGCGGGUCUCUGGGCCGGUACUGACGCUGAGGAGCGAAAGCGUGGGGAGCAAACGGG